rnacentral:rRNA from 1 species
CCUACGGGGGGCAGCAGUGGGGAAUAUUGGACAAUGGGCGAAAGCCUGAUCCAGCCAUGCCGCGUGUGUGAAGCAGGCCUUCGGGUUGUAAAGCACUUUCAGUGGGGAAGAAAGCCUUGGGGCUAAUACCCUCGAGGAAGGACAUCACCCACAGAAGAAGCACCGGCUAACUCCGUGCCAGCAGCCGCGGUAAUACGGAGGGUGCGAGCGUUAAUCGGAAUUACUGGGCGUAAAGCGCGCGUAGGCGGUCUGAUAAGCCGGUUGUGAAAGCCCCGGGCUCAACCUGGGAACGGCAUCCGGAACUGUCAGGCUAGAGUGCAGGAGAGGAAGGUAGAAUUCCCGGUGUAGCGGUGACAUGCGUAGAGAUCGGGAGGAAUACCAGUGGCGAAGGCGGCCUUCUGGACUGACACUGACGCUGAGGUGCGAAAGCGUGGGUAGCAAACAGGAUUAGAUACCCCAGUAGUC